rnacentral:rRNA from 1 species
GUACACAAAAAUGCACAUAUUGUGAGCUCGAUGAGUAGGGCGGGACACGUGGUAUCCUGUCUGAAUAUGGGGGGACCAUCCUCCAAGGCUAAAUACUCCUGACUGACCGAUAGUGAACCAGUACCGUGAGGGAAAGGCGAAAAGAACCCCGGCGAGGGGAGUGAAAAAGAACCUGAAACCGUGUACGUACAAGCAGUGGGAGCCUCUUUAUGGGGUGACUGCGUACCUUUUGUAUAAUGGGUCAGCGACUUAUAUUCUGUAGCAAGGUUAACCGAAUAGGGGAGCCGAAGGGAAACCGAGUCUUAACUGGGCGUUAAGUUGCAGGGUAUAGACCCGAAACCCGGUGAUCUAGCCAUGGGCAGGUUGAAGGUUGGGUAACACUAACUGGAGGACCGAACCGACUAAUGUUGAAAAAUUAGCGGAUGACUUGUGGCUGGGGGUGAAAGGCCAAUCAAACCGGGAGAUAGCUGGUUCUCCCCGAAAGCUAUUUAGGUAGCGCCUCGUGAAUUCAUCUCCGGGGGUAGAGCACUGUUUCGGCAAGGGGGUCAUCCCGACUUACCAACCCGAUGCAAACUGCGAAUACCGGAGAAUGUUAUCACGGGAGACACACGGCGGGUGCUAACGUCCGUCGUGAAGAGGGAAACAACCCAGACCGCCAGCUAAGGUCCCAAAGUCAUGGUUAAGUGGGAAACGAUGUGGGAAGGCCCAGACAGCCAGGAUGUUGGCUUAGAAGCAGCCAUCAUUUAAAGAAAGCGUAAUAGCUCACUGGUCGAGUCGGCCUGCGCGGAAGAUGUAACGGGGCUAAACCAUGCACCGAAGCUGCGGCAGCGACACUAUGUGUUGUUGGGUAGGGGAGCGUUCUGUAAGCCUGUGAAGGUGGCCUGUGAGGGUUGCUGGAGGUAUCAGAAGUGCGAAUGCUGACAUAAGUAACGAUAAAGCGGGUGAAAAGCCCGCUCGCCGGAAGACCAAGGGUUCCUGUCCAACGUUAAUCGGGGCAGGGUGAGUCGACCCCUAAGGCGAGGCCGAAAGGCGUAGUCGAUGGGAAACAGGUUAAUAUUCCUGUACUUGGUGUUACUGCGAAGGGGGGACGGAGAAGGCUAUGUUGGCCGGGCGACGGUUGUCCCGGUUUAAGCGUGUAGGCUGGUUUUCCAGGCAAAUCCGGAAAACCAAGGCUGAGGCGUGAUGACGAGGCACUACGGUGCUGAAGCGACAAAUGCCCUGCUUCCAGGAAAAGCCUCUAAGCAUCAGGUAACAUCAAAUCGUACCCCAAACCGACACAGGUGGUCAGGUAGAGAAUACCAAGGCGCUUGAGAGAACUCGGGUGAAGGAACUAGGCAAAAUGGUGCCGUAACUUCGGGAGAAGGCACGCUGAUAUGUAGGUGAAGCGACUUGCUCGUGGAGCUGAAAUCAGUCGAAGAUACCAGCUGGCUGCAACUGUUUAUUAAAAACACAGCACUGUGCAAACACGAAAGUGGACGUAUACGGUGUGACGCCUGCCCGGUGCCGGAAGGUUAAUUGAUGGGGUUAGCGGUAACGCGAAGCUCUUGAUCGAAGCCCCGGUAAACGGCGGCCGUAACUAUAACGGUCCUAAGGUAGCGAAAUUCCUUGUCGGGUAAGUUCCGACCUGCACGAAUGGCGUAAUGAUGGCCAGGCUGUCUCCACCCGAGACUCAGUGAAAUUGAACUCGCUGUGAAGAUGCAGUGUACCCGCGGCAAGACGGAAAGACCCCGUGAACCUUUACUAUAGCUUGACACUGAACAUUGAGCCUUGAUGUGUAGGAUAGGUGGGAGGCUUUGAAGUGUGGACGCCAGUCUGCAUGGAGCCGACCUUGAAAUACCACCCUUUAAUGUUUGAUGUUCUAACGUUGGCCCGUAAUCCGGGUUGCGGACAGUGUCUGGUGGGUAGUUUGACUGGGGCGGUCUCCUCCUAAAGAGUAACGGAGGAGCACGAAGGUUGGCUAAUCCUGGUCGGACAUCAGGAGGUUAGUGCAAUGGCAUAAGCCAGCUUGACUGCGAGCGUGACGGCGCGAGCAGGUGCGAAAGCAGGUCAUAGUGAUCCGGUGGUUCUGAAUGGAAGGGCCAUCGCUCAACGGAUAAAAGGUACUCCGGGGAUAACAGGCUGAUACCGCCCAAGAGUUCAUAUCGACGGCGGUGUUUGGCACCUCGAUGUCGGCUCAUCACAUCCUGGGGCUGAAGUAGGUCCCAAGGGUAUGGCUGUUCGCCAUUUAAAGUGGUACGCGAGCUGGGUUUAGAACGUCGUGAGACAGUUCGGUCCCUAUCUGCCGUGGGCGCUGGAGAACUGAGGGGGGCUGCUCCUAGUACGAGAGGACCGGAGUGGACGCAUCACUGGUGUUCGGGUUGUCAUGCCAAUGGCACUGCCCGGUAGCUAAAUGCGGAAGAGAUAAGUGCUGAAAGCAUCUAAGCACGAAACUUGCCCCGAGAUGAGUUCUCCCUGACUCCUUGAGAGUCCUGAAGGAACGUUGAAGACG